ACCUGUCGCCUAUUGAGGAAAGACUGGAAGAUGAUGAGCGCACCAGGAUGCCUCUGAGGUUCUGGAGGAAAGUCUACAGAACAUGAGCAUCCAGGAUGCUGAAACCCAGGUCAUGUAUGAGCAGGAGAUAAAUGAUCUAAUGAAGAGUGUAAUUGAUUGGGGGGACAGUGAAGGUGUUAGUAAUGAGGAGAUUGAAGCAGAUGACAGUGAAGAUGAGGACUAUGUCCCUCGUAUUUGUAUUCGGUUGGGUGGAGCAUUGCAGGCACCACCAUGCAUUGACAAUCUGUCUGUGAUAGAUGCCAGUGAGACAGUACAUGACAUCCCGGAUGUAGAGCCUCCAUCAGUCACCUUACCUACACUUCAACAACCUGGCUUUCCUGAUACACUGGAGGUCAUGACUGAAGAUGACCUAAUCGGGAAACAGGCCUCCAUCACUUAUGAGGACUGUUUGAGGAAGCUUGCAACAUUCCUUGUGCUUCUGGUCCAAAAGUGCCCAUACACAUGUGACGUCAGCAAAGUGGAGUGUCAGUGUUGCCCUCCAUUUGAAGUUUCCAUUACGUGCAGGGGUACUGCAAGCAUCAUGGAAUGGGUAGGUGUUGUAAUCAUACUACAUUGCAAAUAAGUGUAGAUUGGUGUUGGAGGCAAUGUCAAUACGUUGACAGUGGUUUUGUGAAACUCAAUCAAGCUUCCUGAGUUGUAGUUCCACUUAGUGGAAGCAAUUCUAUGUUUGUAUUUGAUAAUGCUAAAUAGCCUAAGUUGUGUCCCAUUUAUUGUCAGACCUGCCCUGUUGGCCACACUGUAUAGAGAUGGAGCUCACAGCCGUCUUUGAGGUAUGGGAUGCUAGCAGGGACUUCAUGUUGGCAAGCAACAUACUACUCUCCGGAAGCAACUACACCAAAGUCUCGCUUCUGUUCCAGUUUAUAAACAUGGGGAUGGUGGACCGUAGUUCAUUUUUCACAAUUCAGGACACAUACGGUGUAGACACUGUGAAGGAGUUUUGGGAGGAGAAGAGGGCUGAGGCAAUAAAUCGCCUAAAAGACAGAGAUAAGAGAGGUAAUACGGAUGGAAGAAUGGAAUGUCCUGGACAUUGCGCCCAGUACUGUACAUACACUGCCAUGGAGAAUGAAUCCAGGGAAAUCAUCUCUGUCAUCACUGUGGACAAAAGGGAGACUGGGCAAAAUUCUGAGAUCAUGGAGAGAGAGGCAUUUGUGCGGACAGUCGACACUCUUUUGAAUGAAGUGAAACUAGUAGAGGUCUGCACUGAUGCCCAUGUCCAGAUCUCCGCAAUAAUGAACAAAGGAAAGUACAAAGACCUUGGGCUGCAGCACAGCUUGGAUAUGUGGCAUGGGGCCAAGAAUUUGGCAAAAAGCAUCCAUGCUGCUUCACAGGUCAAGGGUCAGUCCAGUUUGAGCAGUUGGCUAAAAGACAUUGUCAACCACUUUUGGUGGUGCUGCAAAACAGCAGAUUCUUACCAAGAGUUCCUUAUAAGUUGAUAUGGUUUGAAAAAUAGUUGUCAUCUAAAAAGAAUAUUCUAUGAAACUAACAUGCAGACUUAUUAGACAUACCUUGUUGGCAAAGAGAAUAAGUUAGGAUGGUUCCUUGAUGUUGGAUAUUUGUUGAUUCAGUAGCUAAUCAGACAUGUCAUUGUGGUAAAUCAUGUGACCCACUUAGAUUAUAGUACUUACAAACAUAAUCAUCAUUAAUAAUGAAUUAUGUACAAUAUGCAUGCUUUUUGUUCUGUACAUUAUAUUUCUAUAUUAUUUCUAGGAGCUGUGGCUUGGUCUCCUACAUCAUGUGACAAAUGAACACAGGUGGGUGCUGGGAAGCUGCCAGCAUGCAGACUUAGAAUCUGGUGGAACUCAACAGUGGCUUGAGCGAGGCUCCAUGGCACAUGAGGCCCUGAAGAGCAUCAUUAGAAACAAGCGGUGGCUUAAUGAGGUCCACAAAUAUCUAAAUUUUAGGUCCACUGCUGAUCUGGAGUCCUUCCAGAACCAUAUUUUAAUGUACGCUAGCAAGCGCACAGCAUUUAGCCCUCCUGUCUUUGAGGCCAGGAUGCUCCUUGCAGCGAUGGACUACAGUAUAAUUACCACAAGGACCGCCCAG